CGAUUGCCCAAAUUUCAUUAAUACAGAGUUCCUCGGUGUGCCCAAUGCUAACUGAUAUUUGCCUAAAUUGAGAAAGAUAUGGGAUGGAUAUAAACAGAGUCCAUACCGCUAUUUUCUUCCAUUGCGCUCUCUAAGCAAGAUGUUGUACUAUGGAAGAUCAUUUACUUAGAAGAGUAUUGCUCAAAUUCAGUUGCUUGGAUGUUAUAUUUCAGCUUGAAGGCUAUCGAGAAAGCAAUAGUCAGUUCUGAUAUUACCAUGGAGAAAUGAAGAUUAUGUGAAAGACUUAUCCAGUAAUUUGCAGGUGUGCCAACCAACUUGAGUGGAACUACCGCUCAACGAUUCUGAGGCCCUACUCGCUAACUCACUUUUGGAGAAGUAAACUUAAACCAAAAAUUUUCCUAUUAAUAAAUAGCGUGGUAAUACCCUAAAUAUCGAGGAAACACUAAAAUCGAAACACCCAAAAAACACCCCAACUAGUGAACUGAAUCCCCAAACAGUCCACCAUUUCUUAGGGUCUUGCCUGGGGAAACAGUUCAUUAUUUCUACAAAAGGAGUGAACCGUUUCGUAGCAGAAAAACCCAAAACUUGAAUUUUCUAAUUCAAUUCUACCUCAAAACUUACCUCAAAAUAAGAUCCCAAAACAGCUUCUAAACAAUUCAAAUGAUCCUUACAGAAAUAAAACACCAAAACCAAACUUAAAAACCAAGCUUAACCUCAAAAUUUCAAAAGAGAAAAACUAGAGCUUUACUUUGGUCUUCCUCCCAAUUCACACUUGAAAACCUAGCUAAAAUACCCCUGAAACUUUUGGAAAUUUUACCGCAAUUAACUCAAGCCAUUACUGUAGUUUGUAAUAAAUUUUCACAAUAAAUUUUCACAACCAUUUAUUCCUUUGUUGCAGCUCGCUCACUACACACAAGACUUCAUAACAAAAUAAACGUUGUGGAAGAUGUUUGAGUGAGCUACUACAUAUAGUUCAUAUAUAUAUAUAUAUAUAUAUAUAUAUAUAUAUUACUUUUAUUAUUGAGGGGAAUACUAUUUAUAUUGUGAGUGUCCCUUUUCCUAUAUUUGAGUAUUAUUUAUAUCCGUCUACUGGGGCAGUAAAUAGAUGAACAUGUAGCUGAUAUUCUUUUAGCAAUAAAUUCUCCGAUUUAUAAUAUUUCUUGUAAGAACAUAAGAUUCACUCCACCCAAAAAUGAUAGUGGUCAAUUUUGUCCCAAAAGAAAAUGCUCACAUAUAUAGCAAAUUAAUGAAGAUAAUAAGGACAGAGUGAUUGUUCAAAAAAAUAUGUAUACAAGGAUAGAGUGAUCUAACUAAUUAAAGCUGGCAACAAAGAUGUUUAAGAGAAACUUGUCGAGUUAGAAUAAGCAAACAAAGAAGUCUUGACAGAUUCAAAUAAAACAAAACGACGCCAAUAGAAAUAAAAUUCCAGUCAUUACCGACCACAUCUCUGCAUCCUAAAGCUGCUUGAAAGAGGAGUAACACAUUAGCAAUAGCGAAUAAAGUUUACUGGUCCUGUUAUAGUCCAGAGGUGGUGCUUUA